rnacentral:misc_RNA from 1 species
UCCGGCUUAUCACCGGCAGUCCCCUUAGAGUGCCCAACUGAAUGCUGGCAACUAAGGGCGAGGGUUGCGCUCGUUGCGGGACUUAACCCAACAUCUCACGACACGAGCUGACGACAGCCAUGCAGCACCUGUGUUCCAGUCCCCGAAGGGAAGAAAUCCAUCUCUGGAAAUCGUCCGGACAUGUCAAACGCUGGUAAGGUUCUUCGCGUUGCUUCGAAUUGAACCACAUGCUCCACCGCUUGUGCGGGCCCCGUCAAUUCCUUUGAGUUUUAAUCUUGCGACCGUACUCCCCAGGCGGGAUGCUUAAUGCGUUAGCUGCGCCACUGAAGGGUAAACCCACCAACGGCUAGCAUCCAUCGUUUACGGCGUGGACUAC